GAUGAACGCUGGCGGCGUGCUUAACACAUGCAAGUCGAACGGGAAAUAUUUCAUUGAGACUUCGGUGGAUUUGAUUUAUUUCUAGUGGCGGACGGGUGAGUAACGCGUGGGUAACCUGCCUUAUACAGGGGGAUAACAGUCAGAAAUGGCUGCUAAUACCGCAUAAGCGCACAGAGCUGCAUGGCUCAGUGUGAAAAACUCCGGUGGUAUAAGAUGGACCCGCGUUGGAUUAGCUAGUUGGUGGGGUAACGGCCCACCAAGGCGACGAUCCAUAGCCGGCCUGAGAAGGUGAACGGCCACAUUGGGACUGAGACACAGACCAGACUCCUACGGGAGGCAGCAGUGGAGAAUAAUACACAAUGGGGGAAACCCUGAUGCAGCGACGCCGCGUGAAGGAAGAAGUAUCUCGGUAUGUAAACUUCUAUCAGCAGGGAAGAUAGUGACGGUACCUGACUAAGAAGCCCCGGCUAACUACGUG
rnacentral:rRNA from 1 species